rnacentral:SRP_RNA from 1 species
GCUGGGCGUGGUGCCGUGCGCCUGUAAUCCCAGCUACUCGGGAGGCUGAGGCAGGGGAAUUGCUUGAACCAGGGAGGUGGAGGUUGCAGUGAGCCAAGGUCGUGCCUCUGCACUCCAGCCUGGGAAACAGAGCAAGACUCUGCCUCAG